rnacentral:rRNA from 1 species
UGGGGAAUUGUUCACAAUGGGCGCAAGCCUGAUGACGCAACGCCGCGUGGGGGAUGAAGGUCUUCGGAUCGUAAACCCCUGUCGAAUGGGACGAAAGACCCGGGAGCUAAUCAUCCUGGGAGUGACGGUACCGUUAAAGGAAGCCACGGCUAACUCUGUGCCAGCAGCCGCGGUAAUACAGAGGUGGCAAGCGUUGUUCGGAAUUACUGGGCGUAAAGGGCGCGUAGGCGGCCAUCUAAGUCAGACGUGAAAUCCCCCGGCUUAACCUGGGAACUGCGUCUGAUACUGGACGGCUCGAGUUUGGGAGAGGGAUGUAGAAUUCCAGGUGUAACGGUGAAAUGCGUAGAUAUCUGGAGGAAUACCGGUGGCGAAGGCGGCAUCCUGGACCAACACUGACGCUGAGGCGCGAAAGCUAGGGGAGCAAACGGG